rnacentral:rRNA from 1 species
CCUACGGGCGGCAGCAGUGAGGAAUAUUGGUCAAUGGGCGCGAGCCUGAACCAGCCAAGUAGCGUGAAGGAUGACUGCCCUACGGGUUGUAAACUUCUUUUAUAAAGGAAUAAAGUGAGGCACGUGUGCCUUAUUGUGUGUACUUGAUGAAUAAGGAUCGGCUAACUCCGUGCCAGCAGCCGCGGUAAUACGGAGGAUCCGAGCGUUAUCCGGAUUUAUUGGGUUUAAAGGGAGCGUAGAUGGGUUGUUAAGUCAGUCGUGAAAGUGUGCGGCUCAACCGUCAAAUUGCAAUUGAUACUGGCAGUCUUGAGUUCAGUUGAGGUACGCGGAAUUCGCGGUGUAGCGGUGAAAUGCUUAGAUAGCACGAAGAACUCCGAUUGCGAAGGCAGCUUACUAGCGUCCCACUGACAUUGAUGCUCGAAAGUGUGGGUAUCAAACAGGAUUAGAUACCCCAGUAGUC